AUACUUACCUGGAUGGGGUCUAUGGGUGAUCAUGAAGGCCCAUGGCCUGGGUAAGUGGCCUCCAUUGCACAGCGGAGGGGUGCUUGCCUAAGGUCUACCCAAGUGGUGGAGCCUACAUCAUAAUUUGUGACAGGGGGGCCUGCGUUCGCGCAGCCCCUG
rnacentral:snRNA from 1 species